rnacentral:rRNA from 1 species
UCGAGACCUGCACAGCAGAACGACCCGCGAACUCGUUUACCAACACCGAGGGGCGGGCUUGCCCCGUCCCCUUGGAGCCGGRACGCGCCACCCCCUCUCCCCGUCAAAAGGGCGAGGGGACUGGCGUGCGACGGCAAGUACCCAAACACCGGCGCGGGUUGCGCCAAGGACCAUGAAUUCUAUCGCGUCCCGCAGCCCCGGGCGACCGGGUGCAGCGGGAAGGCGUGUUGAGAAAUUGAACACAACGACUCUCGGCAACGGAUAUCUCGGCUCUCGCAUCGAUGAAGAACGUAGCGAAAUGCGAUACUUGGUGUGAAUUGCAGAAUCCCGUGAACCAUCGAGUCUUUGAACGCAAGUUGCGCCCGAAGCCAUCCGGCUGAGGGCACGUCUGCCUGGGCGUCACGCAUCGCGUCGCCCCCUCCCCCUCUGUGGAGCGGAGAGAGGGGCGGAAUUUGGCCCCCCGUGCGCCCCCGCGCGCGGCCGGCCUAAACACGGAGCCCGUGGCCGCGAGCGCCGCGACGUUUGGUGGUUGAUCCUUAAGCAUCGCGUCGCGCGCCAGAGCGCGCCCGGAGCACUCGAAGGACCCUUAGGCGGAGCAGCCUACCCUUGCGACCCC